ACGACAUCCUUCUAUGCAAGCUUCUAGGCCUCUACAGGAGAGUGUUACGAGGCUUUAUAUGUAGAUCUAUCACUCUUGGCGUGAGAUUCCAAAUAGUAUACGACAUGCCAUGUUUAAUGAAUUUACGACGUCGUGUACUUGGUAACCGAAGUACAAUAUGGUUAUUGCGACCACAUUUGAAAGGAAAGCGAGUGUGAAACUGUCUAGCUGGCUUAAGAAAGCCCGGGAUUCAAUAACACCUCCAAUUUAAACAUCACCAGAUGUCUUUGAGGAGUUGUGUCGGUAUUAAAAUACUGAUGAAUUCAAGGUUGUGUUCGAACAAGCCAAAAAAGCUAGAGGUAGUCUAAAGGGUGGCUCGUUGCACAUCGGAGGUACAAAGAGUGUUGGAACAAUUAUAAGGGAGAUGAAAAAAUAAAAAAAAUGGGGCAUGCUACCCUUCGUAGCAAGGUUUUCAAGAGGACUCAUGUAAAGAACAAGAUUAAUGAGUCAGAUCCGGAUGAGAGGGUGGAGGAAAAGGGUCACACAAUGUUAUUGGUAGGAGGGACACAUAAGGGCAAGAUCUAUGGGAUGGACUCUCAGAUCGAUAUUCAAAGACUCCAAUCAGGUCUAGAAGGCAUUGGAUUGCCACGUCAAGCCGAGGCAAUUGAUGGUGUUCAAAUAGCUGGGAUGUCAAGGCAAAUCUCAAAACUUACACGUGCAUUGGCAGUAUCUGAGGCAAGAAGAAUUGUUGAACAAAAAAGCACGAAUGAAACCGUCGAGCAAAUAAAAGAACAAAUGCUCAACCUCGCUCGUCAUCCUAAACCGUCCUGUUCUUCUGGAGCUUCUACUUCUACCGAUGACUCAGAGGUUGACUUCAUAGAUUCCACCCCUUAGCUACCGUGAGUCUCUUUUAGUGAACAUUUAUUAAGUUUUUUACGAACUUUGAUAGACUUUUUUAAGUCUUUAAAGUAUAUUUUGUGUUUUUGAAUGUUUUAUUAAGUUUAUU